CACCGCUAAAUUGCGCUCACCAUCAUUGACCCCGAUUCUGUAAGUGAAUGCGGUAUUGUUGAAGGAUUUUGCGAGAAGAGCAAGCGGAGCCAUUAUUGAAAGCAGAGAACAAACAACAAAAAAUGAGGACUUCCAUCCAAUUGUGUUGCUUGAUCGUGGUCCAGAUAUGUUUGGUAUCAUCAUUCAACUUUACCAGAGAUAAAAUGGUGGAAAAAGGAAUGUAUUUUCCAAUAAUGUUCUCUUCGGAACAACCACCACCUUAUUUCUGUUAUCAUUUUAGAAAACUGUGCUAUGCUCCAGGCAUUUCAAGUGGAUGGCGGGGAUGGUAUCGCAAAGGAUUCAGUGGAUACUUUAUCCAUGGAUCAUGGAUGUACUACAUGAGCAAAGUUUCGUGUCCAUGUAUAUUCCCACAGCCCCCUCGGUAUGGUGAAAGCAACGAAGGUGGAUCUUUGAUACAGCCAUUAUAGGUGUCCAUCAAAUUUUAUCAAGUGUUAAACAAAUAGUCCAAUCAUGUACUAGUUUCUUGUAAGCAAGGUGUUGAUAACAGAGCAAUUGAUGUUUUACAAGGACGAAUGCUUUCAAAACAAGCAAAGUUCUGAAAUUGAAAUGUAAUGCGUAGCUUUUCUGUUUUGUUUUGCGAAAUAAAAGAAGUAAUUGCUGGAUGGAAA